rnacentral:rRNA from 1 species
AGUGAACGCUGGCGGUAGGCCUAACACAUGCAAGUCGAACGGCAGCACAGUAAGAGCUUGCUCUUACGGGUGGCGAGUGGCGGACGGGUGAGGAAUACAUCGGAAUCUACUUUUUCGUGGGGGAUAACGUAGGGAAACUUACGCUAAUACCGCAUACGACCUACGGGUGAAAGCAGGGGAUCUUCGGACCUUGCGCGAUUGAAUGAGCCGAUGUCGGAUUAGCUAGUUGGCGGGGUAAAGGCCCACCAAGGCGACGAUCCGUAGCUGGUCUGAGAGGAUGAUCAGCCACACUGGAACUGAGACACGGUCCAGACUCCUACGGGAGGCAGCAGUGGGGAAUAUUGGACAAUGGGCGCAAGCCUGAUCCAGCCAUACCGCGUGGGUGAAGAAGGCCUUCGGGUUGUAAAGCCCUUUUGUUGGGAAAGAAAAGCAGCAGGUUAAUACCCCGCUGUUCUGACGUUACCCAAAGGAUAAGCACGGGCUAGCUUCGUG